AGCAAUACAAUUUCCCCUUCAGCAAUGUCGAUAUUUUAAUGCCUGCUAUGCAAUCUGCACAUAAUGUAGAGUUAAGAAACUUAAUUGAUCUGGUUUUGUUCCUCUGAUGGCCUUUUCAAAGUAUUAAUUUGUCCUAGCUAGACACAAAUCCUUCACACGUGAAUGUAUUAUAAGACACCACAUUUCGAGCAAAAUGGAGAUUGGGUGACUUUUUUUCUAUUGCGAUUGAACUACAUAAUGGUAUCCUGAACAUUAUUGUGUUAUUCUUGCGUGGCUAUUUUCUAUCUUUCCAAGCAAUUGCCAUUUGCCCCUUUUCUGCUUAUAUAGUGUGGUAUCUUUGUAGAUUUAUUAUUUGGACCCUUUAUUCGAUUGUUUCCUGUUUAUGAUCCUCUUAAUAGGAUGUUGUGGUUACUACUAUCCUUAAGGAGAAAUGUAGUGCAGAUCCAUUUGCUUGCCUGGGUGCAAUCUGAUACUUUUUAUUUUGGCUACAGAUGCCUUGGGACAGAUUUUGGGUGUUUCUAAGUUGGGCCAUGUUUGCAUGUCGACUAACACAUCUGACAAUUCUAAGAGGCUUUAUCGCUUUCUUAGAGAUGGCAGUUUCAAUGCAGAUGAUAUGUGUGGACAAAUGAAGUGGCAUGGUAGGUGAGUUGUGUUUGUUGAAACACAUCUACAAUCUAGAGAUUAUGCUCGGGAAAACUGGCAAAGGAAGGUGUAUAAAUAGUUUAUUACAAGGUAAAUUCAAUUUUGCUUGCUUUU